UACGAAGGGGGGCUAGCGUUGCUCGGAAUCACUGGGCGUAAAGGGUGCGUAGGCGGGUCUUUUAAGUCAGGGGGUGAAAUCCUGGAGCUCAACUCCAGAACUGCCUUUGAUACUGAGGAUCUUGAGUUCGGGAGAGGUGAGUGGAACUGCGAGUGUAGAGGUGAAAUUCGUAGAUAUUCGCAAGAACACCAGUGGCGAAGGCGGCUCACUGGCCCGAUACUGGACGCUGAUGCACGAAAGCGUGGGGAGCAAACAGG
rnacentral:rRNA from 1 species